AAGUCGUAACAAGGUUUCCGUAGGUGAACCUGCGGAAGGAUCAUUCAUGCUAAAACGGCAGCAGCUAAGUGCAUAUAUGGCAACAUGUAUGUAUGAGGUUGUUGUUUGGUUUCUCUUUAUUUUUAUCCUAACACAUACGGUCUAUGUACAACCCUUUUUUUAAAUAACCAAACUUAAUCUACCUUUGAUCUUUUGGUGGUGUAAAAAGCCAUCAGGGGGGAUCUGGUUUACAUAUUGUUAGAUAAGUCCUAAUAUGGUGGAUUCCAUACAGGCAUGUGUAGAAAUACGAAACAUAUACAACUCUUUGCAAUGGAUAUCUUGGUUCUC
rnacentral:misc_RNA from 1 species